AAUCCCACAGAGAGAGAGAGAGAGAGAGAGAGAGAGGUUCAACUUGUGUCUCUGACUCACCCCCAUUUCACCUGUCUCUCUCCUUGCUUCUUGAUAUAAAGAGACGGAGGGAGACGCCCUUUUUCUUCACAGACGUAUACAGUGUAGAAAAAGAGAGAGGAGAGGCAGAGAAAAUGAAUGUCCUAGUGUCGUCGGAAUGCAGUAGUGGGUGUGAGUCCGGUUGGACUCUCUACUUCGAGCACUCUGUCAACCCCUCUCGCAGAGACUCUGCCUCUCCGUUCAUUGAUGAGAGAGAUGAUGAGGAUCUAUGUGACGAGAACAGAGGCAAGGGCAUUGAAGAUGAUGAGGAGGAGGGCCUGUCCAUGGUUUCUGAUGCAUCCUCUGGACCCCAGUCCACUUUCUUGAAGAUAUACAUGACCAACAACGCCGCUUCAACAACGGAAGUGACCGUGACCAACGUGUCCGUUCCCCCGUAAAAGCUCUCAAGCAGAGUGGGAAGAGACAGAGAACGAGGGAACAACACCACCCAUGGCGCUACAAGAUAAAUCAGGACUUGCCUUCUUUGCUUGACGACACUGCGAGCUCUCCCAUCAUCAACUUCUUCCCCACGAAAGACUUGAUGCUUAGUGGAAGCCCGGGCUCAAUGGAGAGUGUCUUGGAAUUUUCUGAGGGAAGAUCUGCAUUUCAAGAACGGUUUGGUUUCAUGCAGUCUUCUCACUCUGGGAAACAGAAUAACCAGUGGUUUGGAAGGAAUGACAUGGAGUUGAGAUAGAGUGACAAGCUUGAAUCUGUUGCAGAUUGUUGCUGCUUGUUGGGCUCUUGGCAUGCUCGAGGUCUAGGAGACAUGUCUGAAAUAGGAGGGUUGUCAAUGUGUUGAAAAGGAGGGUAGGAAGAAAGAAAGAAAGUAAAAGAAAAGAGGACGUUUGGAUCUCAAAGAGAUCUUUUUAAUCUUCAUUAUCUCCCCUCUUUUUUCAUAUCCCUGUAGCAGGCACAACCCAAGAGGAAAUUUGGAAAUAAGAUUUAAUUUUCCUGCAA